rnacentral:rRNA from 1 species
GAUGAACGCUGGCGGCGUGCCUAAUACAUGCAAGUCGAGCGAACAGACGAUGAGCUUGCUCCUCUGACGUUAGCGGCGGACGGGUGAGUAACACGUGGAUAACCUACCUAUAAGACUGGGAUAACUUCGGGAAACCGGAGCUAAUACCGGAUAAUAUAUUGAACCGCAUGGUUCAAUAGUGAAAGACGGUUUUGCUGUCACUUAUAGAUGGAUCCGCGCCGCAUUAGCUAGUUGGUAAGGUAACGGCUUACCAAGGCAACGAUGCGUAGCCGACCUGAGAGGGUGAUCGGCCACACUGGAACUGAGACACGGUCCAGACUCCUACGGGAGGCAGCAGUAGGGAAUCUUCCGCAAUGGGCGAAAGCUUGACGGAGCAACGCCGCGUGAGUGAUGAAGGUCUUCGGAUCGUAAAACUCUGUUAUUAGGGAAGAACAAAUGUGUAAGUAACUAUGCACGUCUUGACGGUACCUAAUCAGAAAGCAACGGCUAACUACGUG